rnacentral:rRNA from 1 species
CCCAAAGUGCUCCAUAUAGGAGCUGUGGUAGGUGCGUAAUGUUCCCUACUAGAAAGGAGAGGGCAAGGCUGGUGCCAGCCGCCGCGGUAAAACCAGCUCUUCAAGUGGUCGGGAUAAUUAUUGGGCUUAAAGUGUCCGUAGCUGGUAAGGUAAGUUCCUGGUAAAAUUGGGCAGCUUAACUGUCCUUAUGCUAGGAAUACUGCUUUAAUUAGAGGGCGGGAGAGGUCUGAGGUACUACAGGGGUAGGAGUGAAAUCUUAUAAUCCUUGUAGGGACCACCAAGUGGCGAAGGCGUCAGACUGGAACGCGCCUGACGGUGAGGGACGAAAGCCAGGGGAGCGAACCGGAUUAGAUACCCGGGUAGUCCUGGCCGUAAACGAUGCACACUAGAUGAUGGUGCGGCCAUGAGCCGUAUCAGUGUCGUAGGGAAACCGUUAAGUGUGCCGCCUGGGAAGUACGGUCGCAAGGCUUAAACUUAAAGGAAUUGGCGGGGAGCACCACAAGGGGUGAAGCCUGCGGUUCAAUUGGACUCAACGCCGGGCAACUUACCAGGGGAGACAGCAGAAUGAAGGUCAGGUUGACGACCUUACCUAACAAGCUGAGAGGAGGUGCAUGGCCGUCGCCAGUUCGUGCUGUGAGGUAUCCUGUUAAGUCAGGCAACGAACGAGACCCGUGCCUUUAUUUGCCAUCAAGAAGUCACGACUUCGUUGGGAACGAUAAAGGGACUGCCGUCGAUAAGACGGAGGAAGGAGCGGGCAAAGGCAGGUCAGUAUGCCCCGAAACCCCUGGGCUACACGCGGGCUGCAAUGGUGCGAACAAUGGGCUGUGACUCCGACAGGAGAAACCAAUCCCGAAAUCGCAUCUCAGUUGGGAUUGUCAACUGUAACCCGUUGACAUGAACGUG